rnacentral:rRNA from 1 species
GACGAACGCUGGCGGCGUGCUUAACACAUGCCAGUCGAACGGUGAAGCUCCAGCUUGCUGGAGUGGAUCAGUGGCGAACGGGUGAGUAACACGUGAGCAACCUGCCCCUGACUCUGGAAUAAGCGCUGGAAACGGCGUCUAAUACUGGAUACGAGAAGGGUCCGCAUGGGCACUUUCUGGAAAGUUUUUCGGUUGGGGAUGGGCUCGCGGCCUAUCAGCUUGUUAGUGAGGUAAUGGCUCACCAAGGCGACGACGGGUAGCCGGCCUGAGAGGGCGACCGGCCACACUGGGACUGAGACACGGCCCAGAGUCCUACGGGAGGCAGCAGUGGGGAAUAUUGCACACUGGGCGAAAGCCUGAUGCAGCGACGCCGCGUGAGGGAUGACGGCCUUCGGGUUGUAAACCUCUUUCAGCAGGGAAGAAGCGAAAGUGACGGUACCUGCAGAAGAAGCACCGGCUAACUACGUG